rnacentral:misc_RNA from 1 species
GAUGAAGAACGUAGUGAAAUGCGAUAAGUAGUGUGAAUUGCAGAAUUCAGUGAAUCAUCGAAUCUUUGAACGCACAUUGCGCCCCCUGGUAUUCCGGGGGGCAUGCCUGUUCGAGCGUCAUUUCACCACUCAAGCCUCGCUUGGUAUUGGGCAACGCGGUCCGCCGCGUGCCUCAAAUCGACCGGCUGGGUCUUCUGUCCCCUAAGCGUUGUGGAAACUAUUCGCUAAAGGGUGUUCGGGAGGCUACGCCGUAAAACAACCCCAUUUCUAAGGUUGACCUCGGAUCAGGUAGGGAUACCCGCUGAACUUACGCAUAUCAAUAAGCGGAGGA